rnacentral:rRNA from 1 species
GAGGGGUGCAAGCGUUGUUCGGAAUUACUGGGCGUAAAGCGUGAGGAGGCGGCUUGUUAAGUCUGAUGUGAAAGCCCUGGGCUUAACCCAGGAACUGCAUCGGAAACUAGCAGGCUAGAGUUCGGGAGAGGGUCGUGGAAUUCUUGGUGUAGAGGUGAAAUUCGUAGAUAUCAAGAGGAACACCGGUGGCGAAGGCGGCGACCUGGACCGACACUGACGCUAAUACACGAAAGCGUGGGGAGCAAACAGGAUUAGAUACCCUGGUAGUCCACGCCGUAAACGAUGAACACUAGUUGUCGCGGGUAUUGACCCCUGCGGUGACGCAGAUAACUCAUUAAGUGUUCCGCCUGGGAAGUACGGUCGCAAGACUA